ensembl:scaRNA small Cajal body-specific RNA 16
GCGGUCCGGGGCCGCCGCUGCAGCAUCUGUGCGCUGCAGCUGGCCCAAACAGACCUAAAGUAUGACGGGGAGAGGCGCUCGCCGCCCCCCCCCUGGCAGUUACAGGUGUGAGCAUGCUCCCAGCUGUCUGAUGCUCAUGUAUGAUACUGCACACAAAC